ensembl:snoRNA
GACCUCCUGGGAUCGCGUGUGGAGAGCCCCUAGUGUUCCGCCAGCUUCAGAAGCAGGAGGGAAAGCAAGCCUAGUGGAGGUAUCCAUUUCACUCCCAGCUUGCUCUGUAGCUGGUGAUUGGAAGACAUUCCACAACAUGU